CUGCUCAGGAUGAACGCUGGCGGCGUGCCUAAUACAUGCAAGUCGAACGAACUUCCGUUAAUUGAUUAUGACGUACUUGUACUGAUUGAGAUUUUAACACGAAGUGAGUGGCGAACGGGUGAGUAACACGUGGGUAACCUGCCCAGAAGUAGGGGAUAACACCUGGAAACAGAUGCUAAUACCGUAUAACAGAGAAAACCGCAUGGUUUUCUUUUAAAAGAUGGCUCUGCUAUCACUUCUGGAUGGACCCGCGGCGUAUUAGCUAGUUGGUGAGGUAAAGGCUCACCAAGGCAGUGAUACGUAGCCGACCUGAGAGGGUAAUCGGCCACAUUGGGACUGAGACACGGCCCAGACUCCUACGGGAGGCAGCAGUAGGGAAUCUUCCACAAUGGACGCAAGUCUGAUGGAGCAACGCCGCGUGAGUGAAGAAGGGUUUCGGCUCGUAAAGCUCUGUUGUUAAAGAAGAACGUGGGUAAGAGUAACUGUUUACCCAGUGACGGUAUUUAACCAGAAAGCCACGGCUAACUACGUGCCAGCAGCCGCGGUAAUACGUAGGUGGCAAGCGUUAUCCGGAUUUAUUGGGCGUAAAGCGAGCGCAGGCGGUCUUUUAAGUCUAAUGUGAAAGCCUUCGGCUCAACCGAAGAAGUGCAUUGGAAACUGGGAGACUUGAGUGCAGAAGAGGACAGUGGAACUCCAUGUGUAGCGGUGAAAUGCGUAGAUAUAUGGAAGAACACCAGUGGCGAAGGCGGCUGUCUGGUCUGCAACUGACGCUGAGGCUCGAAAGCAUGGGUAGCGAACAGGAUUAGAUACCCUGGUAGUCCAUGCCGUAAACGAUGAUUACUAAGUGUUGGAGGGUUUCCGCCCUUCAGUGCUGCAGCUAACGCAUUAAGUAAUCCGCCUGGGGAGUACGACCGCAAGGUUGAAACUCAAAAGAAUUGACGGGGGCCCGCACAAGCGGUGGAGCAUGUGGUUUAAUUCGAAGCUACGCGAAGAACCUUACCAGGUCUUGACAUCUUCUGACAGUCUAAGAGAUUAGAGGUUCCCUUCGGGGACAGAAUGACAGGUGGUGCAUGGUUGUCGUCAGCUCGUGUCGUGAGAUGUUGGGUUAAGUCCCGCAACGAGCGCACCCUUAUUACUAGUUGCCAGCAUUAAGUUGGGCACUCUAGUGAGACUGCCGUGACAACCGGAGGAAGGUGGGGACAAGUCAAAUAUCAUGCCCCUAUGACCGGGGUACACCGGCU
rnacentral:rRNA from 1 species